GAGAGGUGCUGCAUGGCUGUCGUCAGCUCGUGUUGUGAAAUGUUGGGUUAAGUCUCGCAACGAGCGCAACCCCUAUCGUCUGUUGCCAGCAUUAAGUUGGGCACUCUGACGAGACUGCCUGGGUUAACCAGGAGGAAGGUGGGGAUGACGUCAAGUCCUCAUGGCCCUUAUGUCUAGGGCUACACACGUAAUACAAUGGCGCGUACAGAGGGAAGCGAACCUGCAAGGGGGAGCAAAUCUCAAAAAGCGCGUCUCAGUCCGGAUUGGAGUCUGCAACUCGACUCCAUGAAGUUGGAAUCGCUAGUA
rnacentral:rRNA from 1 species